rnacentral:lncRNA from 1 species
UACGGCAGUGCGGUCACGCCAGUGCUGGGUGUCGACUCCUUCAGCCUGCCUGAUGGCGCAGGCAUCGACCCCGCCUUCAGCAACCCCAUCCGAUUCCCCUUCGGAUUCACCUGGCCAGUGAGUGGGCACCUGCGCGCACUCCGCUGGGCCUGGCCGGGUAGGGGUGGCGGGCUGGUGGCUGGCAGUGGGAGGGAGGCACGGGCCACUGAUAAGGGUUGGGAAAUCCCACAAAGCCACGCCUGGGGUCUUGACUUCUUUCUGGGAACUGGCCGGCAGUUGAGGAGGGGAUGUGGGACACCAGAAGCUUUUGCAAGCCCGGGGCAUUUCUCACAAACCUCAAGGGUCGAAUGCUUCCCCCACCCCCCCCAAAGUUGGGAGAGUUCUUGUUCCCUAGCUCCUAGGCCUGGGUUGGGUCGCUCCCAGUGCUGCGACUGCUCGCUACCCUCGAGGUUCUAUCCCCAGAAAACUAAUGACAGCUGCCCUCUUCUAGCACCCCACCUUGUUGGUUUCAGUACUCUCUCUUAAAAA